UGGAAAUGAAGAGAAGAACGAUAUAAACUAUAAACAGCCUAGGAUUUGUACAUGUACCAUGAAAAAACAAUAAUUUUAUACUAUGGAACUUAUACUUAAACAUGAGGAAAAAUGACAACAGAUCAUAGGAGCGAUGGGGCUGACUAAGUUAACAUUUUUAGAUCUAGUUGGGGUCUUCUGCUGAGUAAGAAUGACUGUCUUGAUGGAAGGGAACCAUUUUGUGCACCUGAAUUUCUUGCUAAUGUUAGUAGUGAGUCCAGUGAUGAGUCCGAUAGUAAUGAAGCCUAUAGCGAAGGUGUCACUUCAAUCCUACCUCUCUAAAUGAUGCUGUGGUUGGUAAUGACAAUUAUAAAUGUGCCUGACUGAUCAUAUUACUUGUAUUCAGUGUAUUUUAAAAAUAGUAAUAAUUUAUAAUAAAAUUUGUUUCAUAAUUAUAUUCAUUGUGGGUAAGCUAUUAUAAACAAACACUUAUGUGACAAUUAACAGCCA